ensembl:lncRNA
AGGAACAAGAAAACCGAGAGAGAAUUUACCAUAACGCACUCAAAGUUUUUAUGUUUGAUUUUCAGUUCAAUGGACAACAGUUAUGUGUGGAUGCUGCCAGAGAGGAUGGAUCACUAGGGAGACUGGUAAAUGACGACGAAGUGAACCCAAACAGCAAAAUUAAAGUUACAAGAGUGGAUGGAAGACCCCAUCUGUGUUUAUUCGCAAUCAAAGAUAUUGGUUCAGGGGAAGAAAUCACUUAUAACUAUGGUAAUUCGGAUUGGCCAUGGAGAAGCAAGGUAGUUAUAUAAAGUUUAUAUAAAGUUAUCUUAAGUAGAAAUAGUAGUAUAGAGUGGUUAAAGGGGUCAUAUAAUGGUAUGUUUUUUCCAGUCAGAUUUGAGCCGUUCGACCUAGUGACAUCACUUUAUCGGACGCCACUCUCACGAUUGAUAAUUGACAAGAUGAGACUUAUUUAGACUUGACUAUUUCAACUUGUUCAGUCCUAUUCAAAAUGUUAGAAACUGACAAGUAAACAGAUUUCUGUUGACCUUAUUUAUCAAUAUAAACUAAUAUGAGGUAUAUCUUGAAGUGUCUAAACUCAUAGGUCCUGUGUAAUCCUCACCAUGUAAGGUUCAGACAUUAGCAGGUCUGUUAGUUUUGUGCAUUAGAUAUGAACUCAUGAGAAUGAUAUUAAGUAGUAGUAUUGAGACGCACGGUCCUGUGUAACCAUUAAGGUACAAACUCUCGAUGACUUUUCGUCUCUUGAUUAGUUUAGACUUCCAAAGAGAUGCCAUGUCAGGCUGCUGAUGUGGACAAAUGCAGUUCCUUUGCAGUCAUUCCAAAGACUUCCAAAGAGAAGCCAUGUCAGGCUGCUGAUGUGGACAAAUGCAGUUCCUUUGCAGUCAUUCCAAAGACUUCCAAAGAGAUGCCAUGUCAGGCUGCUGAUGUGGACAAAUGCAGUUCCUUUGCAGUCAUUCCAAAGACUUCCAAAGAGAUGCCAUGUCAGGCUGCUGAUGUGGACAAAUGCAGUUCCUUUGCAGUCAUUCCAAAGACUUCCAAAGAGAUGCCAUGUCAGGCUGCUGAUGUGGACAAAUGCAGUUCCUUUGCAGUCAUUCCAAAGACUUCCAAAGAGAUGCCAUGUCAGGCUGCUGAUGUGGACAAAUGCAGUUCCUUUGCAGUCAUUCCAAAGACUUCCAAAGAGAAGCCAUGUCAGGCUGCUGAUGUGGACAAAUGCAGUUCCUUUGCAGUCAUUCCAAAGACUUCCAAAGAGAUGCCAUGUCAGGCUGCUGAUGUGGACAAAUGCAGUUCCUUUGCAGUCAUUCCAAAGACUUCCAAAGAGAUGCCAUGUCAGGCUGCUGAUGUGGACAAAUGCAGUUCCUUUGCAGUCAUUCCAAAGACUUCCAAAGAGAUGCCGUGUCAGGCUGCUGAUGUGGACAAAUGCAGUUCCUUUGCAGUCAUUCCAAAGACUUCCAAAGAGAUGCCGUGUCAGGCUGCUGAUGUGGACAAAUGCAGUUCCUUUGCAGUCAUUCCAAAGACUUCCAAAGAGAAGCCAUGUCAGGCUGCUGAUGUGGACAAAUGCAGUUCCUUUGCAGUCAUUCCAAAGGACUGUGUUCAUGAUCUUGUCCCUGAAGAAAUGUCAAGUUUAGAAAAAUGUGUCACAUGUGGCGGA